rnacentral:tRNA from 1 species
AAAAAGGUAAGCUAAUCAAGCUAAUGGGUUCAUACCCCAUUCAUAGAGGUCUUAACCCUCUCCUUUUUA